rnacentral:tRNA from 1 species
UGACCCAUGGUGUAAUGGUAACACAGCAGAUUUUGGUUCUGUCGUUUCAGGUUCGAGUCCUGAUGGGUCAA